rnacentral:rRNA from 1 species
GCCGGCGACCGGCGCACGGGUGAGUAACACGUAUGCAACCUACCUUUAACAGGGGGAUAAGCGGAAGAAAUUUCGUCUAAUACCGCGUAAAAUUUUGGCAAGACAUCUUGCAAAGAUCAAAGGAGCAAUCCGGUUAGAGAUGGGCAUGCGGCGCAUUAGCUAGUUGGCGGGGUAACGGCCCACCAAGGCGACGAUGCGUAGGGGUUCUGAGAGGAAGGUCCCCCACACUGGUACUGAGACACGGACCAGACUCCUACGGGAGGCAGCAGUGAGGAAUAUUGGUCAAUGGGCGAGAGCCUGAACCAGCCAAGUCGCGUGAGGGAAGACGGCCCUAUGGGUUGUAAACCUCUUUUGUCGGGGAGCAAAGGCGGUCGUGCGCGACCGGAUGAGAGUACCCGAAGAAAAAGCAUCGGCUAACUCCGUGCCAGCAGCCGCGGUAAUACGGAGGAUGCGAGCGUUAUCCGGAUUUAUUGGGUUUAAAGGGUGCGUAGGCGGAAGAUUAAGUCAGCGGUAAAAAUGCGGGGCUCAACCCCGUCGAGCCGUUGAAACUGGUUUUCUUGAGUGAGCGAGAAGUGUGCGGAAUGCGUGGUGUAGCGGUGAAAUGCAUAGAUAUCACGAAGAACUCCGAUU